rnacentral:tRNA from 1 species
ACUAUUUUGGCAGAAUAAUGCAAUAAAUUUAGAAUUUAGAUAAGUAUAAAAUUHUA